rnacentral:rRNA from 1 species
UGCGAAGGGUGCAAACGUUGCUCGGAAUUAUUGGGCGUAAAGCGCACGUAGGCGGCUUUCUAAGUCAGGGGUGAAAUCCUGGAGCUCAACUCCAGAACUGCCCUUGAUACUGGAGAGCUUGAGUUCGGGAGAGGUGAGUGGAACUGCGAGUGUAGAGGUGAAAUUCGUAGAUAUUCGCAAGAACACCAGUGGCGAAGGCGGCUCACUGGCCCGAUACUGACGCUGAGGUGCGAAAGCGUGGGGAGCAAACAGG